AAACUACAUUUUGCCUUCAUCUUCACUGUUACUUCUUUCAUUUUUCUGACAUGAAUGGAGUCUUUCAUAGAUAUAGGAGGCAGAUAAUACAUGAUUGUUGAGUCAAUGAGUGAAUAAGCUAUAAUUCAAGCUAUUUUCCUCUUUCAGUAAGGAAAAAACUGCCUUUUUACACACAACUGUUUUAGUGGUUUAUAAGAAGCUACUGAGUGAUGAUGGAAUUUACUUUUGCAUAGGAUUUGCAACUACUGUAGGGAUAUACAGGUUGUCUUUCUUUUAUGUUAACUUUAAGUUAUGUUUUCUUUUCUUUUUUCCUUUAAGUGAAUUCAGUUUUAUGUUAGUAGAAGUUAAGAUUAUGUAAAAGCCACUUUUGGAAUCUGGGAAAAGAAACCUAAACCCUUUUACAAAACGCAAUUGGUAAAACAUUUGAGUAAAUGUCUGUUGUUUAAGCUAUGAUGCCUUUUUUGUGUGCCUUAAUGUUUUGUGGAAAAAAAAAUCUGUAUUCCAAUAUGAAUUAUAUCCUGUGAGUGGAAUUAAGAAAAUGAAAUUAAAAAGUAAUAAAAAAAAAAUAGAGUUCUU